rnacentral:rRNA from 1 species
UACAGAGGGUGCGAGCGUUGUCCGGAAUCACUGGGCGUAAAGGGCGCGUAGGCGGCUUCUCAAGCGGGCGGUGAAAGCUCGGGGCUUAACUCCGAGUCUGCCGUGCGAACUGGGAGGCUUGAGUCUGGUAGAGGUCGAUGGAAUUCCGGGUGUAGCGGUGGAAUGCGUAGAGAUCCGGAAGAACACCGGUGGCGAAGGCGGCCGACUGGGCCAGUACUGACGCUGAGGCGCGACAGCGUGGGGAGCAAACAGG